rnacentral:lncRNA from 1 species
CUAAAACUGUUUGAAUGAUGUCUGUGAGUAUAACAGAAGUCAUAUGGCAGGCAAAAGCCUGAGAAAAAUCCAACCAGGAAGUGGGAAAUCUGAGGUUGUAGUUUUUUCAAGGGAUUGCCUUUACAGUAUACAAUGACUUAGGGUUCAUGUUGCACUCCCUAAAGCCUCCACUAGAUGUCAACAGUCUUUAGAACCUUGUUUGGGGAUUCUAUGUUGAAUUUGAAGGGAAUAACAGCCCAAGGAAGUAGGUGUCCCAUUAUAAGGCAUGGGUUCAGUCACGCGCAGGGACUUGGGAGCGAGCUGAGUUCACAUUCAUUCCUAAAGAGAACGGAUAGGUCCGGUUGGAAUUUUAUUGAAGAUAUGUGUUAAAAACAACCUAAAGAUUGAUUCUAUACAUCGUUUGACGUUUCUACAAACUGUAGUAGAACUUUUUUGACUUUUCAUCUGGACUAAGUAAGCACGCGCCUUGUGGAUUUGGAUAGUGAACCUAACGUGUGAACAAAAUGUAUGUAUUUGGACAUAAAGAUAAACUUUAUCAAACAUUUAUUGUGGAGCUGAGAUUCCUGGGAGUGCAUUCUGAUGAAGAUAAUCAAAGGCCCCAGAGUCUGCAACACCACUAAGCAUGAGGCAUCACUAAGCAAGCGGCACCAUGAAGACCAAGGAGCUCUACAAACAGCUCAUGAAACAUGGGACCAACACUUUACAUAUUGCAUACCUCAGACUGGUGCGAAGGAUCAUCUUCCAAUAGGACAACGACACUAAGCACACAGCCAAGACAAUGCAGGAGCGGCUUCUGGACAAGUCGCUGAAUGUCUGAGUGGCCCAGCCAGAGCCCGGACUUGAACCCGACCGAACAUCUCUGGAGAGACCUGAAAAUAGCUUUGCAGCGAUUCUCCCCAUCCAAUCUGACAUAGCUUGAGAGGAUCUGCAGAGAAGAAUGGGAGAAACUCCCCAAAUGCAGGCGUGCCAAGCUUGUAGUGUCAUACCCAAGAAGACUCAAUGCUUUAAUCGUUGCCAAAGUUGCUUCAACAAAGGACUGAGGGACCAGAAAAGAAGGGAAGCGAGGCGGAGGAGUGGCUGUGGUGGACAUCUAUCACUGAAUGUGAAUUGGCGAGCUCUGGGCACUGGGGUGCUAAGGCAAGGUACUGCAUGGACAAUUACUGAUGCCAAAGUAAAAGUAAGAAAAGGAGGGAAAAUGACAAGAGGAAGAAAAAAGAGCAAAGAGAGGGGAAACUGAGAGACUUCCAGUCCAAAAGCUUCCACCUCGUUGGUGUGGUAUACGUUUCUGCGUGUGACAGCAGAGAAUGAUUCAUAUCCUGUGAUGCGUAUGGUUUUGACAGUAUGAGUUAUUCCCCUCCCUUUGGCUAGAUAGUCUUUUGUGUUGUGUUGGGCUGGCUGAGGAAGGGGAGGUCAGUAGGAUGAAAUGGAAGCUUUUCUAUCACUGCUCCACUGGUCUGAGUCGGCUUGCCAGGAGGAGGAAACAGGCGGGACGACCUCAAUGGUCUCUCUGUACUCUCUGUACUGUACCUCACGCACACACACACACACACACACACACACACACACACACACACACACACACACACACACACACACACACACACACACACACACACACACACACACACACACACAGAGAAACAGUCAUCAUUUACCACUUCCUGUUUCUACCAGCUCUGACAGUCAAACGUCAAAUUUAGAAGUUGUUCAAAAAGUCAAAUUUACAAGUAUUUAAAGUUAAGUUUAGGCAUUAACACAAAAAUCUUUAAUUUAGGGUUACGUUUAUGCAUUAACUGCACAUUUUUAAGGUAUAAGUUAACCUCAAUUUCUCAUUCUUAUUAUAUUAAUUCUCAUUCUUAUUAUAUUAAUUCUUAUUAUAUUCAUUCUCAUUAUAGUAAUUUUCAUUUUUAUUAUAUUAAUUAUCAUUCUUAUAUUAAUUCUCAUUCUUAUUAUAUGAAUUACCUUUCUUGUUAUAUUAAUUCUCAUUCUUAUUAAAUUAAUUCUCAUUCUUAUUAUAUUAAUUCUCAUUCUUAUUACAUGAAUUUACCAUUGUUAUUAUAUUCAUUCCCAUUCUUAUUAUAUUCAUUCUCAUUCUUAUUGUCACGGUUGUUGUAUGAUGAAGGAGCGGAUCAAAGUGCAGCGUGUGUAUCGUUCCACAUUUUCUUUAUUAAACUGUGAAACUAUGCAAUACAUACAAAUAAACUGAAGAACAAAAAACAACAAACCGUGACGAAGAGGUGAAACUCACACUAACUCAAAAACAAUCUCCCACAAACCCAGGUGGAAAAAACAACUACUUAAGUAUGAUCUCCAAUUAGAGACAACGAUGACCAGCUGCCUCUAAUUGGAGAUCAUCCCAAAAAAACAACAUAGAAUUACAAAAACUAGAACAUAACAACAUAGAAAAUCUAAACUAGAAAACCCCCCUGUCAUGCCCUGACCUACUCUACCAUAGAAAAAUUUGUAAGUCGCUCUGGAUAAGAGCGUCUGCUAAAUGACUUAAAUGUAAAUGUAAAUGUAAAAUAACAGCUUUCUAUGGUCAGGACGUGACACAUAUUUUAUUAAUUCGCAUUCUUAUUAUAAUAAUUCUCAUUGUUAUUAUAUUCAUUCUUAGUAUAUUCUUAGUAUAUUCAUAAAUAAAAAGUUACAUGCAACUGAAAAAUUGGAGGAGCAGAAGAGGUGGGUCUGGCGCAUGUGCACCAAAAACAAAAGGUAUUUUUCCGGUUGCAUGUAACUUUUUAUUGAGAUCUUUUUGAAGUGCAUACCGGCCGUAGAGACAGUAAUGACGAUAGUUUCACUCCAUUCUUUGGUAAGUAAAGAACAAAUUUGUACAUUAUUAAACUUUAAAUACUGGUGAAUGGCAUGUUGAAAGGCUGUUUUCUGGGCUUAAAGGAGAAUCACCCACAUUCAAUGUCUCCUGUAAACCCAGAUUCUAGUUCAUAUUUACUGUAUGUUUUGACCUGCACAAUCUCAAACAAACGUCGGGCUUUUCAGUGUUUGAAAAGAAGGAUAAGGAGCAUUCCAGUAAAACAGUUGAUGUACUGUCCUAUAUGUGUUCUGGGACAAGAUAGGGACCCAACAUUUCUGUCAAUGUCCUCAAGUAUUUAUGAUCAACAUGUCCUGAGUCAAAUGAUCAACGAUGCAUCGACAGUUCCAUAAUUUCUUUACAACUUCCCAGUAGAUUAGGAUUGGCCUUUGACCACCGACGACAAACCACCUUUAGGAUUAGGAUAGGUCUUCGACCACCGACGACCAACCAACCUUAG